rnacentral:ribozyme from 1 species
UUCGCAAGAUAUCGUCAGCAUCUCGAUCGAGGAUACUCUAUUCGAUCUCGCCUCAGUUUGAUCACGCAUCUGUUACUGCAAAAGGCGAAGACUGAUA